AAUGAACGUUGGCGGCGUGGAUUAGGCAUGCAAGUCGUGCGGGAGUAGCAAUACUCCAGCGGCGAAAGGGAUAGGAACACGUGGGUAACGUACCCCUGAACCCGGGAUAGCUACGGGAAACUGUAGGUAAUACCGGAUAAUGUCUGCGGACCAAAGGUGCGAUUCCGUUCAGGGAGCGGCCCGCGUCCUAUUAGCUAGUUGGCAGGGUAACGGCCUACCAAGGCAAAGAUGGGUAGCGGGUGUGAGAGCAUGACCCGCAUCACUGGGACUGAGAUACUGCCCAGACACCUACGGGUGGCUGCAGUCGAGGAUCUUCGGCAAUGGGCGAAAGCCUGACCGAGCGACGCCGCGUGCGGGAUGAAGGCCUUCGGGUUGUAAACCGCUGUCAGUGGGGAGGAAGGCUCCGUGAAGAACGGGGUUUGACCUAUCCGCAGAGGAAGUACGGGCUAAGUUCGUGCCAGCAGCCGCAGUAACAC
rnacentral:rRNA from 1 species